UGAAAGACGCGCAUUUGUUAUCAUCAUCCCUGACAACAGAGAUGUUAAUUUUGGCCACAUUGAUGUGGCCAUUUUC
rnacentral:sRNA from 2 species